rnacentral:piRNA from 1 species
UAAGAGCUAAUUGAGAGUCUACAAAUCG